CUAUGGUAUAAAUCAUAACUUGCUAUCAGACGAAGUUCGUUCCUUAAAGUAGCACCAUCUAUCAUUGAACAAGAACAAUUACUUAAUGUUAACAUACAUACAUGUAUCUAUCAUAAUAAUUUCAAUGCAUAGCUAAGUACAGUUUGACUAUAAGCUAAUUGAAAAAACACACUCAAUUGGAUAAAUGGAUCAACGUAGUUUUUUUAAGUUUUUUU
rnacentral:lncRNA from 1 species